rnacentral:antisense_RNA from 1 species
AUAUUCAGAACAGCUGCUUCUUUUUGGUUGCUGGUGGCAGGGAUAUUAUGGAGGCAACAGACGCAUGAGAGUGAGGUAUUUACCUGAGGGCGAUUGAAGUCACCAGCUUAACAGUAGUGGAAAGACCUUAAGCCAGAGAACUCCAGGUUCAAGAACCACCACCUGCAAACUUGGCAAAUUUGGACAAAUGUCUCUCUGAGUUUCAUUGUCUUCAUCCACAAAUAAAGCAAGAUUACUUCACCUACAGAAUUGCGCAAUUAUGACCAGACCACGAGGGUAUGAAGGAUGAGGAAAAGGGAGCAGUCAUGGAGCUCCUUUUGGAGGGAGUCAUAAUUCCUUAGACCUCUGACAACUGGAACUCUCAAUCUGCCAGUGAUAGCUGACAUGAGCCCAAUAAGGAUGGUCUUUUCUAUUCAAAGAUAGGGACACCCUCUUUUUAAAGGACAUUCAAUUCAAAUGUAUCUUCUCUGGUUAAAGUAUGGUGAAGUCUGUCCUGUGGGCACUCCCCAUUGACCCCUAGCAGCUCUUGAGCCCCAUCUUCAGGAUCCGUACUUUGAUAGUCACUGACAAUUAGCUUUGAAAAUCUAUAGUUCCAAUCCUGUGAAAUGAGAAGACUGUUGAAGCUAUAAAGGAGGUCUUUGCCUGCAUUCAGAUUCUGACACCAAGGACUCCUCUGAUUAUACUGAAGUAUGUAAGAAAACCUUCUCUUGAAAUCAGGGACCAUUUCUCUUCAUCUUAUCUUGAGCUACAUACCAAAUAUGAGUACACAUAGUUAGGAUUCAAUAAAUAAUUUAAGAUACUUGUGAACACCUUGCUCUGACUGGUUCUAUUUUUACAUUCAGAGAGGAAAGCAUCCUGUAUUCUCCCUAUAAACAAAUCUAGGAGAAUAGGGUCAUGGACAUCCUCUGUACACAGAAUAACAGUCCGAUGUUGGGUAUCUUACUCCUGUGAAGUGAAGGGAAAUAGAAAAGUAAACAAAGAAGACCACAGUACAAGAUGUCACCUUAAAAUAUAAACCUGAAGACAAGAAAAACCAGGCUCAAGGAACAAAUGAACAGGAAAGUUGAAAUUCUAGAAUACAUUUGUUUUACACCAAUAUUAUUUGCAUCUUGUUUAAAUGAAAAGUUGUUUACAUACACAAUGGAUGACUGCAAAGAAAUGGCAUGGAAACUGGAAUCAGAGGCCUGUGUCUGAAUUUCAUGUCUACCACUGAACAACUGCGUGACAUUGGGAAAUUUACUUAGUUUCUAUAGACCUCAUUUUUCUUAUCUGUAAAAUGGUUUCCACAAUCUGAAACUCAAAGGUCUCUUGACAAGAUUGAAUGUGAUAAUGCAUGUAAGGGAUCAGGACGAAACCCAGCACAAAAAAAGACUGCAAGCCACACUGUUUACAAACACCAUUUCCAAGUAAAAAAAAAACCUGCUCAUUGAAACUGAAGGCACCAGUGUCUGUUGGGUUCAGCACGUAGUGAGAUGCUCAACUACCUGCCUCAGGUAAGCUUAGUGUGCUUACGUACUUCACUAACGAUAGCUAGUUUAGAGGUUCUUUCCUCGUAAUUCAGGUGAUAUAAUUGCUCUAUGGUUAUGCCCUACCCACCUUGUCUUAAACAGUGCAAAAUAUGUGAUAUCAUUACACAUUUCUUAUCAGGAAAAUAUUUCAAAGGGCAGGCACUCUCUGUGUUUCCUUAGUAACAGCAGCUAUGUGGAGCAUCUUCUGUAUUAUGUUUAACAUGGUGCAAAUAUGAACAAGUAAUCACAACUCCUAUGCACCAGCAACUAGAGAAAUGUAGCUACAAUAAAAUAGGUGGCAUUCAUAUUUGUUUGUUGGCCAUACCUGGGACUUUUUAAGAACCUGUUUUUGGUUAAUCUUGUUUAUUUUUUAAAUUCUAAACCUUUUUUGUGUAAUGUUGCAGCAGAAGCGAGGGUCUCAGAAAACAUCUCCUGUUCUGAUCUGGCACAGUUCCAAUUAUAUGGAUAACCUUCCAUUUGUAAAGCUCUGAAAUAAGUGUCACAAGGAUACGUAGAUUUAAGAUGCAGAUCCAUCUAGAAGAAGUACAAUCUGGUUGAAGGAUGGUGCGGCAAUACAACAAGUACAUAACUCACUUUGUUGCAAGGCAUAAUUGGUAAAUCCUCAUCUAUUGGGACUACAGAAGUUUGACAACCCCUGUCUCUCGUGUCUUAUGGCCACCAAUGACUGCAGUCUUUCAUUGUGAAUUUGGGUUUGAUCUCAGAAAUCUUCCCAACAUGAUGCUCUGUCAAGCCAACAAUGUUUGAGCAGUCAGCCAUUUAUUUAAUAUCUCUGUAUUAUUGCAUUGGUAAUUCUUGCUGAAAACACUCAAGUCACCUGAGAGAACUGAUCUGUUUAUUAAUAGCUUUUAGGAUAUCAACAUUUCAUAUUUGAACAGAGAAAUCUAACAUUACUUGACAGAAAACAGGAGUGGUCAUAGGAAUCAAAAAUUCACAUAUCUUUGGGAACCAAGUUAUUAUUAUAAAUGAGUGUCAUGGACUGGAUAAGAAAACAAGGACUGGUUGGACCAGAAUUAUAGCAGGAUACAGACACAAAGGCAUUUAAAUUUUAAAAUUCUAAGAACGAAAUAUAACUAUAGUAAAUACAUCUUUGGACUACUUUUGGCUUAUGGAUCAUGGUUUGCAAACCCUUGAUCUGUGACAUAGAUGUUAAAGGUGGGGUAAUGAGGUUGUGUGUGCAGAUCUCCAAACACCAGAGCAUCAUGGGCAGCACUAACCUGCAUGGUGCCCUUAGGAGGGCUGUAAGCCAGAAGCAAGUUCUCCAUUCUGCCCUAGUCAGGCCUGACUAUACCAAGGCUUAUAACUGGAGAUACAAGCCAAGUCAUAUACCUGGCAAUUCAGCAAAGUUCAGAGAAAUAUGGCAUGAAUUCAUACAAAUCAAGUGCAUAACAUUAAGAAACUGCAAUUUUGAGUUGUGCGUAUGCUUACAGUGGCCCAUUUCUAAAUUAAAAGGAAGACUAUUUCUGUU